rnacentral:rRNA from 1 species
UACGUAGGGAGCAAGCGUUGUCCGGAAUCAUUGGGCGUAAAGCGCGCGUAGGUGGCCUCAUAAGUCCGCUGUGAAAGUCAAAAGGCUCAACCUUUGAAAGCCGGUGGAUACUGUGAGGCUAGAGUACGGAAGAGGCGAGUGGAAUUCCUGGUGUAGCGGUGGAAUGCGCAGAUAUCAGGAGGAACACCAAUAGCGAAGGCAGCUCGCUGGGACGUUACUGACGCUGAGGCGCGAAAGCGUGGGGAGCGAACAGG